UUCACCAUUGGCUUCAAUCUUCAUCGACUCUGCUCUUCGUUCUUCUUCAUCUUCUUCUUCACCUGUUCCAACCAAACCCUGCUGGAUAUCAAAAGCAAAUGGCAACCUACAUGCGGUUAGAUAUGAACUCCUUCGUGACAUAUGGUCGAACAGCGAGUGACAAUAUGUGAUGACUAUAUGUAUAUGUAUAUGAAUGAUAUGGUAGUAUAUUGCCCCUUUUCUUUGUGAGGAGUUGUAAAUUUCCUUAGUCAAGGUUUGGUUAUACAUGUUAUUUCUUUAGCUUUCUUUUCUGAGGUUUAUCAUCUGUAAAAAGAAAGCAUAAGAGCCAAUUCUUGUGGCUUCCUUAGAGCCCAGUGCUGCCUUGGAGCCCCAUUUCUUUGUGAGGACUAGCCGAAGUAGUCCCAAAACCCUGAUGCUUAAGGGUGUACCGUUCUCAGGCUAGAAACAUUUUGCCCUGCUCUAUCCGGUCCUCAAAUCAAUAAAAGUGUGUGGAUCGUAGAAAUCAGUUCAGUGCAAUUGCAAUCCGGUUAUAUAUAUAACCUAAAAUCAGUGCUACCCUAAGAUUAACCCAUGAGUAAGAUUUUUAUUGACAUAUUUGCAGAAGAUAUGGAGCAACAGACAGAAUAUAUAGCUUACGAUAUGCUAACUACAAGCCAUGAGGGCCGAAGUUUUAGUAUUCUCUACUUUUAGUCUCUCGAAAAAAUUACAUUACAUCCUCAAAACUGCAUAAAACUUGCUCAAGUAAAAAUGUAAAGAAACAAAAUUUUCCAAGCAAUCUUGGAUGUUUGCAUUGCAAACACCAACUUGCUCUAACACUCACUCACCAACUUAUACAUAUUUACUAGUUACUACUGUCCCAAAAUUUGAACAUAUCAAGACAUCACUAAAAUAACAAGAAAAUUAAAUCAUGCUGUGAGCUUCUGUAAAUCACCAGCUGCAUUCAUGUGCUGGAGAUGCAAUGCAGCCAACAACCCUUGCCAGGUUUCUCCAGGCGCCACUCCCACCUGAAAGUCAAGAAGUUUUUUCUGUUUCCUGUAGUAAUCUUCCAAUGGCUUCCCCUAAAAACAUAUAGAUUUGCAAUUAGAAAAUUUUGAUUAUCCGACAUUAUUUUCUUGAUUUACCCAAUAAGAAUAUGGACAAUUCACAGCUUAAGGACAGCUUACAUUACUAAAUCAAUCAUACAGGAAGGACAUGAGUCGUGGUAAAAGAAAUUCACACACCAAGAUAAAAGAUUAUCAAGUGGAUCAGCAAGAUGGAUUAGAUUUAGAUGAUCUAAGCAUCAUUUGCAAAAAUCAUAUUAGACAAAGAGGAAAAGAAAAA
rnacentral:lncRNA from 1 species